GUAGUGCUGAAGAGUCCAAAACUAGGACGAAACAGCUGUCCAGUAC
rfam:Trichobilharzia regenti genome assembly, scaffold: TRE_scaffold0004168